GGCGCAGACGGAAGAGCAAGUCUGAAGUGAAAACCUGCGGCUUAACUGCAGGAUUGCUUUGGAAACUGUUUUUCUUGAGUACUGGAGAGGUAAGCGGAAUUCCUGGUGUAGUAGUGAAAUGCGUAGAUAUCAGGAAGAACACCGGAGGCGAAGGCGGCUUACUGGACAGCAACUGACGUUGAGGCUCGAAAGCGUGGGGAGCAAACA
rnacentral:rRNA from 1 species